AGUGAACGCUGGCGGCAGGCCUAACACAUGCAAGUCGAACGGCAGCACGGCAGUAGCAAUACUGUGGGUGGCGAGUGGCGGACGGGUGAGGAAUACAUCGGGAUCUACCCUGUUGUGGGGGAUAACGUAGGGAAACUUACGCUAAUACCGCAUAAGAACUGAGGUUGAAAGCGGCGGACCGCAAGGCGUCGCGCGAUUGGAUGAACCGAUGUCCGAUUAGCUAGUUGGCGGGUAAAGGCCCACCAAGGCGACGAUCGGUAGCUGGUCUGAGAGGACGACCAGCCACACUGGAACUGAGACACGGUCCAGACUCCUACGGGAGGCAGCAGUGGGGAAUAUUGGACAAUGGGCGCAAGCCUGAUCCAGCCAUGCCGCGUGGGUGAAGAAGGCCUUCGGGUUGUAAAGCCCUUUUGUCCGGUAAAGAAAGCAUUCGGUUAAUACCCGGGUGUUCUGACGGUACCGGAAGAAUAAGCACCGCUAACUUCGUGCCAGCAGCCGCGGUAAACAUACUACG
rnacentral:rRNA from 1 species